rnacentral:rRNA from 1 species
GCGGGGAUUAGUGGCGAACGGGUGAGUAACACGUGGGCAAUCUGCCCUGCACUCUGGGACAAGCCCUGGAAACGGGGUCUAAUACCGGAUAUGACUGUCCGCCGCAUGGUGGAUGGUGUAAAGCUCCGGCGGUGCAGGAUGAGCCCGCGGCCUAUCAGCUUGUUGGUGAGGUAGUGGCUCACCAAGGCGACGACGGGUAGCCGGCCUGAGAGGGCGACCGGCCACACUGGGACUGAGACACGGCCCAGACUCCUACGGGAGGCAGCAGUGGGGAAUAUUGCACAAUGGGCGAAAGCCUGAUGCAGCGACGCCGCGUGAGGGAUGACGGCCUUCGGGUUGUAAACCUCUUUCAGCAGGGAAGAAGCGAGAGUGACGGUACCUGCAGAAGAAGCGCCGGCUAACUACGUGCCAGCAGCCGCGGUAAUACGUAGGGCGCAAGCGUUGUCCGGAAUUAUUGGGCGUAAAGAGCUCGUAGGCGGCUUGUCACGUCGGUUGUGAAAGCCCGGGGCUUAACCCCGGGUCUGCAGUCGAUACGGGCAGGCUAGAGUUCGGUAGGGGAGAUCGGAAUUCCUGGUGUAGCGGUGAAAUGCGCAGAUAUCAGGAGGAACGCCGGUGGCGAAGGCGGAUCUCUGGGCCGAUACUGACGCUGAGGAGCGAAAGCGUGGGGAGCGAA